rnacentral:tRNA from 1 species
CUCUUUUGUAGUUUAUCAAAAAAAUAUCACUUUUUCACCGUGAAGAAGAUUUUUUUCCAAAAGUGU